CUAAUUACAUUCCUAUGUUUAUCAUUUUAGUACAAUUGUAGGAAGGAAUUUCUCUUUCUUCAACAGCUGAAGUGGAGAAACAGAGCUUCAUUGCUCCAAUUUACAGGCUUUCAUGGAGGACUGAAAAGGAUUUGAGGAAUUUGAACCAUGCAAAGUUUCUAAAGGAUACACAGAAAAAUUCAAGUAAUUUAGGCAAAAGUACAUUCAACCAAGAAAUUUUGAAAGGCAACAAAGGUCUACAAAUUGAAGAGAGCGUUGAGACGAUAAGAUUAUUGGCUUUGUGUGAAAUUGAACUUGAAUUUGUAUUAAUUUGUGUCGAGACGAUCGAAGUCUUAAAAUCUUAGACUUCAUAUCAGACGAUCGUUGUGGAGAUGGGACUUGGAGAGAAGGAUAGUAAAAGGGCAGGCCCAGCAAGAGCCCACACCAUCAAAGUCGUAAAAUUGAUAGCCCAGCCCAAUUUUAAAACCUUCUACCUCAUUUGGGCUUGGCCCAACCGAAUACAGCAUUUUUUUUCUUCGUCCUCCAAAUAUAACUUUUUAGCCACAUGAACUUGAGCUAGUUACCCGUGGACAAGAGGUUCCAAAAAAAAUAUUUUUUAAGAAACCUAAUUCAUUAUUUCA